UUUUGCAUCCCUCCCCCCCCCCAUAUACAUUCUGUUUUAUGCACGCUUUAUCCUGGUAUGUGCAUAGAAAAUAUAUACACACACACACACACACACACACACACACAUAUAUAAAUAUAUAGAAUAGAAUGUAUAUACAUAGAAAUGCAUAUACCAGGAUAAAACGUGCAUGAAACAGAAUGUAUAUGGGGGGAAGGGAUGCAAAAA